AAUAUAAUCCGAAGAUAACCUCCGGGCUGGCUUUAGCUCAGCGGUUACUUCGAGUACAUUGUAACCACCUCUCUGGGUGGUUCGAGACCCGCGGGUGCUUUCCAGCUCUUUUACUGCUGAAGUUCAGCUCCUUUUCCAUGGGGAACCAUGGAGAAAUGGCUGAUUUUAGCACUGGGCAGGAAAUAUAGAGAUGGACAGGGUGCAUCUCACAGUGCUAGAAAGAUGCAUUGUAACAGGAGAAUAUUGUCUGAAUGGGAUCAGAUCUGUGGAAUUUAUGGCCUAACACGUGGUCUGUUGUUGUACUAACCAGGCCUGACCCUACUUAGCUUCCGAGAUCAGAGGAGACCGGGCACGUUCAGGAUGACUUGGAACUGAAGAAGCUGGCAAUCUGGAAAUGCCAAUGGAUGCAGAUUUUAAAAGCCCCAGCAAAAGUCUGCUUUCUCUAUUCAUAGGACCAGGAUCAGGAAGAGGACAGCUUAGCAAGACAUAAAAUUCUUAGACAAUAACUGUUCUACCCCAGCCAAACACCAAACACACACACACACACACACACACACACAUACACACACACACUCCAACAACUAUGGCCCCACCCACUUCAGCAAAGGCUGAGUAGGAGCCUAGACUUCCACCACUGAGCGGCUGUAAGAAGUUACCCCAAGACCCCACCAACGUGGUGUUAAAGAAGGCCAAAUAGGGGACAAGAUUUUUUUCCACACUGACCAGUUAUGAGGUUCCCUUUUUCCCCCUGUGAAAUAAAAAUAAAGCCCAUAGGUCCCCAGGCAAGAUGAAAUGGACUCCUUGUUGCAAAAGAGACCCCAGAAAACUUUAAAAGCUGGAUUCUAUGGCUUUGGCAAGGUAAGAGUUCGGUCACACCUCAAAACUCCCCUACCUCAUUAACUGCUUCAAGACUUUCUUUCCUACAGUUAAACGCCUGGGACUACAGUUGUGUGCCACCAUCCUAGGCUAAUUUUUUUUUAAAGGUUUUUGUAGAGAUGAGAUCUCAGUA